GACGAACGCUGGCGGCGUGCUUAACACAUGCAAGUCGAACGGAAAGGCCCUGCUUUUGUGGGGUGCUCGAGUGGCGAACGGGUGAGUAACACGUGAGUAACCUGCCCUUGACUUUGGGAUAACUUCAGGAAACUGGGGCUAAUACCGGAUAGGAGCUCCUGCUGCAUGGUGGGGGUUGGAAAGUUUCGGCGGUUGGGGAUGGACUCGCGGCUUAUCAGCUUGUUGGUGGGGUAGUGGCUUACCAAGGCUUUGACGGGGAGCCGGCCUGAGAGGGUGACCGGCCACAUUGGGACUGAGGUACGGCCCAGACUCCUACGGGAGGCAGCAGUGGGGGAUAUUGCACAAUGGGCGGAAGCCUGAUGCAGCAACGCCGCGUGCGGGAUGACGGCCUUCGGGUUGUAAACCGCUUUCGCCUGUGACGAAGCGUGAGUGACGGUAAUGGGUAAAGAAGCACCGGCUAACUACGUG
rnacentral:rRNA from 1 species